rnacentral:rRNA from 1 species
GACGAACGCUGGCGGCGUGCUUAACACAUGCAAGUCGAACGGUAAGGCCCUUCGGGGUACACGAGUGGCGAACGGGUGAGUAACACGUGGGUGAUCUGCCCUGCACUUCGGGAUAAGCCUGGGAAACUGGGUCUAAUACCGGAUAGGACCACUGCCUGCAUGGGUGGUGGUGGAAAGCUUUUGCGGUGUGGGAUGGGCCCGCGGCCUAUCAGCUUGUUGGUGGGGUGAUGGCCUACCAAGGCGACGACGGGUAGCCGGCCUGAGAGGGUGACCGGCCACACUGGGACUGGGAGACGGCCCAGACUCCUACGGGAGGGAGCAGUGGGGAAUAUUGCACAAUGGGCGCAAGCCUGAUGCAGCGGCGCCGCGUGAGGGAUGACGGCCUUCGGGUUGUAAACCUCUUUCAGCACCGACGAAGCGCAAGUGACGGUAGGUGCAGAAGAAGGACCGGCCAACUACGUGCCAGCCGCCGCAGUAA